rnacentral:rRNA from 1 species
UACGGAGGAUCCAAGCGUUAUCCGGAUUUAUUGGGUUUAAAGGGUGCGUAGGCGGCCUUGUAAGUCAGUGGUGAAAGCCUCCAGCUCAACUGGAGAACUGCCAUUGAUACUGCAAGGCUUGAGUACAGACGAGGUUGGCGGAAUUGAUUGUGUAGCGGUGAAAUGCAUAGAUACAAUCAAGAACUCCGAUUGCGUAGGCAGCUAACUAGGCUGUAACUGACGCUGAGGCACGAAAGCGUGGGGAGCGAACAGG